GAUGAACGCUGGCGGCGUGCCUAAUACAUGCAAGUAGAACGCUGAAGGAAGGAGCUUGCUCUUUCCGGAUGAGUUGCGAACGGGUGAGUAACGCGUAGGUAACCUGCCUGGUAGCGGGGGAUAACUAUUGGAAACGAUAGCUAAUACCGCAUAACAGUAGAUGUUGCAUGAUAUCUACUUAAAAGGUGCAAUUGCACCACUACCAGAUGGACCUGCGUUGUAUUAGCUAGUUGGUGAGGUAACGGCUCACCAAGGCGACGAUACAUAGCCGACCUGAGAGGGUGAUCGGCCACACUGGGACUGAGACACGGCCCAGACUCCUACGGGAGGCAGCAGUAGGGAAUCUUCGGCAAUGGACGGAAGUCUGACCGAGCAACGCCGCGUGAGUGAAGAAGGUUUUCGGAUCGUAAAGCUCUGUUGUAUGAGAAGAACGAGUGUGAGAGUGGAAAGUUCACACUGUGACGGUAUCUUACCAGAAAGGGACGGCUAACUACGU
rnacentral:rRNA from 1 species